UUUGCUGACGAGUGGCGGACGGGUGAGUAAUGUCUGGGAAACUGCCUGAUGGAGGGGGAUAACUACUGGAAACGGUAGCUAAUACCGCAUAACGUCGCAAGACCAAAGAGGGGGACCUUCGGGCCUCUUGCCAUCGGAUGUGCCCAGAUGGGAUUAGCUAGUAGGUGGGGUAACGGCUCACCUAGGCGACGAUCCCUAGCUGGUCUGAGAGGAUGACCAGCCACACUGGAACUGAGACACGGUCCAGACUCCUACGGGAGGCAGCAGUGGGGAAUAUUGCACAAUGGGCGCAAGCCUGAUGCAGCCAUGCCGCGUGUAUGAAGAAGGCCUUCGGGUUGUAAAGCACUUUCAGCGGGGAGGAAGGGAGUAAAGUUAAUACCUUUGCUCAUUGACGUUACCCGCAGAAGAAGCACCGGCUAACUCCGUGCCAGCAGCCGCGGUAAUACGGAGGGUGCAAGCGUUAAUCGGAAUUACUGGGCGUAAAGCGCACGCAGGCGGUUUGUUAAGUCAGAUGUGAAAUCCCCGGGCUCAACCUGGGAACUGCAUCUGAUACUGGCAAGCUUGAGUCUCGUAGAGGGGGGUAGAAUUCCAGGUGUAGCGGUGAAAUGCGUAGAGAUCUGGAGGACUACCGGUGGCGAAGGCAGCCCCCUGGACGAAGACUGACGCUCAUGUGCGAAAGCGUGGGGAGCAAACAAGAUUAUAUACCCUGGUAGUCCACGCCGUAAACGAUGUCUACUUGGAGGUUGUGCCCUUGAGGCGUGGCUUCCGGAGCUAACGCGUUCAGUCGACCGCCUGGGGAGU
rnacentral:rRNA from 1 species